rnacentral:rRNA from 1 species
CCUACGGGAGGCAGCAGUGAGGAAUAUUGGUCAAUGGGCGAGAGCCUGAACCAGCCAAGUCGCGUGAGGGAAGACGGUCCUAUGGAUUGUAAACCUCUUUUGUCGGGGAGCAAAACGGCCUCGUGAGGCCACAAUUGAGAGUACCCGCAGAAAAAGCAUCGGCUACCUCCGUGCCAGCAGCCGCGGUAAUACGGAGGAUGCGAGCGUUAUUCGGUUUUAUUGGGUUUAAAGGGUGCGUAGGCGGACUGGAAAGUCAGCGGUAAAAUCGAGAGGCUCAACCUCUUUCCGCCGUUGAAACUGUCGGGCUUGAGUGGGCGAGAAGUAUGCGGAAUGCGUGGUGUAGCGGUGAAAUGCAUAGAUAUCACGCAGAACUCCGAUUGCGAAGGCAGCAUACCGGCGCCCGACUGACGCUGAGGCACGAAAGCGUGGGUAUCGAACAGGAUUAGAUACCCUUGUAGUC